rnacentral:rRNA from 1 species
GAUGAACGCUGGCGGCGUGCCUAACACAUGCAAGUCGAGCGGCAGCGAGGGGUGCUUGCACCCUGUCGGCGAGCGGCGGACGGCUGAGUAACGCGUGGGAACGUGCCCCAAAGUGAGGAAUAACUGCCCGAAAGGGUAGCUAAUACCGCAUAUUAUCUUCGGAUCAAAGGAUUUAUCCGCUUUGGGAGCGGCUCGCGUCGGAUUGGGUAGUUGGUGAGGUAAUGGCUCACCAAGCCGACGAUCCGUAGCUGGUCUGAGAGGAUGACCAGCCAGACUGGAACUGAGACACGGUCCAGACUCCUACGGGAGGCAGCAGUGAGGAAUCUUCCACAAUGGGCGAAAGCCUGAUGGAGCAACGCCGCGUGCAGGACGAAGGCCUUCGGGUUGUAAACUGCUUUUAUAAGUGAGGAAUAUGACGGUAACUUAUGAAUAAGGAUCGGCUAACUACGUG